rnacentral:rRNA from 1 species
GAGUUUGAUCCUGGCUCAGAACGAACGCUGGCGGCGUGCUUAACACAUGCAAGUCGAACGGGAUCCAGAGCUUGCUCUGGUGAGAGUGGCGCACGGGUGAGUAACGCGUGGAUAACCUGCCCUGGUAUCUGGAAUAACAUCUCGAAAGGGGUGCUAAUACCGGAUAAGCCUACGGAGCCUUCGGUCUCUGCAGGAAAAGGUGGCCUCUAUUUAUAAGCUACCGUAUCAGGAUGGGUCCGCGUACCAUUAGCUAGUUGGUAGGGUAAUGGCCUACCAAGGCUACGAUGGUUAGCUGGUCUGAGAGGAUGAUCAGCCACACUGGAACUGAGACACGGUCCAGACUCCUACGGGAGGCAGCAGUGGGGAAUUUUGCGCAAUGGGGGAAACCCUGACGCAGCAACGCCGCGUGAGUGAUGAAGGCUUUCGGGUCGUAAAGCUCUGUCAGUAGGGAAGAAAUGAGACGUGCUAAUACCACGUUUUCUUGACGGUACCUACAAAGGAAGCACCGGCUAACUCCGUGCCAGCAGCCGCGGUAAUAC